GCGGGGGCCGCGGCUCUGGUCGCUUAGCCACCGUGGCAGGCUGCGGGGCUCAGGCAUGGCGGGCAGAGGCGGGGGCGGCCGGGCGGCACACUGAAUCGACCCGCCGCCCCUGGAGCAGCGCACCCGCCGGGCCCCGAAAGCCCCGACCGGACUGAGCAGCCGCUCGGCCCCGCGGGGUCCCUUCGAUCGCCCCGGCUCUGCCGCCGCCUCCCGCGUUCGCUCCGGCCGGGGAAUCAGGGGCCGCCGAACCGCCUCCAAGAACCAGGCUCGAGGCUACGCGCGGGGAGCCGGGCGCCGCACCAUCGCCGCCAACCGGGGCCGCCGUGGGCCGCCCUGAUAAGGCGCGCCCGCGGGUGGCGGGCCGCCUACCUGGGUGGCCGCCCCCAGGCCCUCUUCGCCGUGGGCACCCGAGCCCGCGCAGCAGCGUGGAUUUAGAUGGAAGCAGGGGGUUGAGGAACAUGAAGAAGAGGACCUGGCAUCUGUCAUCCCAUCAACAGUCCUCAGCAAUUCUCCCAUGAACGGCAUGUGGGAAUGUGGGCGAUGAUGGUGGAGCAUGCUGGGAUGGCAGAAGGAGCCAAAGGAGCACAGCCCGGAGCAGCGUUAGGGCCUCCGCGUGUGAGCUGAACCUGCCUGGACACAGCUGGAACGUGCACAUCUGGGGCUGCCACUGCUGCUGGGGAGAAGAGCUGGGUGCUGCGGAGAGAAGUGGCAACCCCACAGUGUGCUAUUUUGUACAUUUUGACCUUGGU